rnacentral:rRNA from 1 species
GAUGAACGCUAGCUACAGGCUUAACAUAUGCAAGUCGAGGGACCGGCGCACGGGUGAGUAACACGUAUCCAACCUGCCCUUUACUCGGGGAUAGCAUUUCGAAAGAAAGAUUAAUACCCGAUGUAAAGGAUGGGGAUGGGUUCCAUUAGGUUGUUGGUGAGUUAACGGUUCACCAAGCCUUCGAUUGAUAGGGGUUCUGAGAGGAAGGUCCCCCACAUUGUAACUGAGACACGGUCCAAACUCCUACGGGAGGCAGCAGUGAGGAAUAUUGGUCAAUGGGCGUUAGCCUGAACCAGCCAAGUAGCGUGAAGGAUGAAGGCUUAUGGGUCGUAAACUUCUUUUAUAUAAGAAUAUGUAUUAUAUGAAUAAGGAUCGGCUAACUCCGUGCCAGCAGCCGCGGUAAUUC